UAAGCGGAGGAAAAGAAACUAACAAGGAUUCCCCUAGUAACGGCGAGUGAAGUGGGAAAAGCUCAACUUUAAAAUCUGGCAGCUUCGCUGUCCGAGUUGUAGUCUCGAGAAGUGUUUUCCGCGCUGGAUCGUGUAUGAGUCUGUUGGAAUACAGCGUCAUAGAGGGUGAGAACCCCGUUCAUGACACGACUACCAGUGCUUUGUGAUACACUUUCGAUGAGUCGAGUUGUUUGGGAAUGCAGCUCAAAAUGGGUGGUAAAUUCCAUCUAAAGCUAAAUAUUGGCGAGAGACCGAUAGCAAACAAGUACCGUGAGGGAAAGAUGAAAAGCACUUUGGAAAGAGAGUUAACAGUACGUGAAAUUGUCGAAAGGGAAACGCUUGAAGUCAGACGUGCGCGGUGCGAUUCAGCCUUGGUUCGCCAGGGUGUACUUCGUACCAUUGCAGGCCAGCAUCGGUUUUGUGAGCCGGAUAAAGGUUAGAGGAAGGUAGCGGUCCAGGCCGUGUUAUAGCCUCUAACUGAAUACGGAUUGUGAGACCGAGGGACGCAGCGCGCCGCAAGGCAAAGGGUCCGCCCUUUUCGCGCUUAGGAUGCUGGUGAAAUGGCUUUAAACGACCCGUCUUGAAACACG
rnacentral:rRNA from 2 species